rnacentral:tRNA from 1 species
GCCCGGGUGGCGGAAUUGGUAGACGCAAGGGACUUAAAAUUCCUCGAGGCAACCCUCGUGCCGGUUCGACUCCGGCUCCGGGCACCA